rnacentral:rRNA from 1 species
UACGGAGGAUCCGAGCGUUAUCCGGAUUUAUUGGGUUUAAAGGGAGCGUAGGUGGAUUGUUAAGUCAGUUGUGAAAGUUUGCGGCUCAACCGUAAAAUUGCAGUUGAAACUGGCAGUCUUGAGUACAGUAGAGGUGGGCGGAAUUCGUGGUGUAGCGGUGAAAUGCUUAGAUAUCACGAAGAACUCCGAUUGCGAAGGCAGCUCACUGGACUGCAACUGACACUGAGGCUCGAAAGUGUGGGUACCAAACAGG